AGCAUUUACAGAUUUUGCAACUUUCAUCAAAGCAUCAUUAUCUGUCAAGGCAGUUAACCCUUCAGCUUCUUGGCACCUGAAAAGCAAACAACCCAAAAACCGAUGUAUUAUAGGUGCACCUGCCAAUUUCAAAAAUCUUGAUCUCAACUCUAUGCUAGGCAGUGAUUGACAACGAUCAAUAACUGCCGAAAAACGCUGAUGAAAGGCACUGGCAAUUGCUGGAGACUUGUUGUCUUCUUGGGCAGAUAGAACAGCCACUCCACGAACAUCUGUCGACCAACUUCUUUCGUUCUCAAUCUCAGGUUUCAAUUUAUCAAAUGCAUCAGUAAGUUCUAUAUCAGCCCACAAGUCAAGCCAAUCAGGCCUGUCAAUAAAUACAGAAAAUGAUGAAAGUUUCUCUAGUUUUGCAUCUUCCUGCAAAGAAAGCAAGAUACCCGAGUGUGAAGCAAGAGACUGAACUCGCUUAUCAAAUGCUAUCAUCUGAUCAAUAAGAUGGAGCCAGGAUAUUCUAGCCUGCAAGUGCUUUUCACUUGUGCUCUCUUCCUCCAGCUGACUAACAUACAUGGGGAAUAUUUCUUUUGCCAAGUAUGUCGAUAGAGAAGUAACCAUAGCAGAGAUCCAUUCUUCUCUGCAACUGUAACCUGACAGCAUUGCCUCAUCCACCAGUGGCUGCAGUAACUCGUCCAUUGAAUCAACAUAAUCCCGGGUUACCUUGUAUACAAGGACAAAUAUGUACUCUGGUUUAUCAACCCAUUUGGAGAAGUGGCGCUGAGAUGCAACUGAUAUAGGAUUAACAAGCUCUUCAAUGGCCCAAAGUGGCUGGUGCAAGGCAAUUUCUCUAUUCUGUCCUUCGAGUUGACGAGAUUUUCUUUGGCGCUGCAGUUCUUGCAGACUGCACAAUGCUAGAAAACUAUCACAAUAUUGCUGUUUAAGGUCCCCUUUCAUUGUGAAAAGUGGGCUCUGGGCAUCAGUUGUCCGUUUUGACUCUGGGCCCAAGGAGUUUAAAGUGGACAGAGGUGGUGGCCAGCCAAGGGAAGUCAGAAGGGAUCUGUGAUCUGCAAUGGCCUGAGGUCUUAAAAUGGCUAGAGCUCGAUCAACUCUAUGAUCAACUGCAGACACA
rnacentral:misc_RNA from 1 species